AUACGUAGGGGGCUAGCGUUGUCCGGAUUUACUGGGCGUAAAGGGUGAGUAGGCGGUAACGUGUGUCAGAUGUUUAAUCUAUGAGCUCAACUCACAUUAGCAUUUGAAACUACGUAACUUGAGUGCAGGAGAGGUAAGUGGAAUUCCUAGUGUAGCGGUGGAAUGCGUAGAUAUUAGGAGGAACACCGGUGGCGAAGGCGACUUACUGGACUGUAACUGACGCUGAGUCACGAAAGCGUGGGGAGC
rnacentral:rRNA from 1 species